UAUCUUUCCCUCCCAUAAGUGAAAAUUUUAGACAUAAAUGAAUAAAGCAAAAAGCCCUCAUCUAUCGAAGUUUAGGAGCUGUCGUCGCCUCUGCCCCACUUAUUUCUCUCUCACCAUCACCGGCAACCAUUCCAGGUAGUCCAAUGUUUCAUUGGAAUUUCAAGUAGUUCCAAUAUAUGGUUCAGUUAAGAAGAUUAUUCUUAGCCUCUUUUGCGUAGCACGACACAUUUGGCCUUCUAGUCAGGUUGGAGUCAUAAUUCUUUCAGAUUUUAUUUACAUCUUAUGUUUAAGUUUGCACUUUGAUUUGUAUAUUGUAGGCCAUUAUUCUUAUCUAGCAUUAGAUGGAAAGAGCUGGUGAAUUGUUCAUUUGAACAUUCGGUUGAGCUAACAUUCAUUGUCUUAUAGGCAAAAUGUGUGCUCUAGCAUAUCAUAUUCUUAAUAUACUCUUGCUAAAAUGGUCCUGAGCUAAUUUAAUAAAUAUAUUAAGCAUAAAUAUGAAUUUUCAGCCAAGAAAACUGUCCUAAGUUACUUUUGAAAUUUGAUAGCGAUUGUUAUUUAACUCUCUUCCUUGACAGAGAAAGAGACAUAAAGUUGUGGCAAAAGAUAGAAUUCUUCUCCAUAAAACAGCACCUACAAAGUAUUUCUUCUUUUCUUAUUCUUUUGGACGGCAAGUUUGGUUAAGCAUCAUUGGUUGUUUCAAGUCUCUAUAGUCAUAUAUGUGGAUUUUUCUUCGUGUGGUGUUCUUUUGGUUAAGUACUUUUGUGUUAUCUUUAUUUCUGCUCAAUAAUUCGUAUCAUUUCCUCCGUAUUAACUUUCAACUCUGAACUCAAUUUGUAUAUACAAGGGAGGCCUUUCCUUAGAGUGCAAGAGUGGUGAUGUAUAACUAGUUACUGGAUUCAAGUUCUGUUUUUUCUUUAUGUUGUUAUCCCUUUUAAAUGUUUGAGAAAGAUCUGGGGUUGAUAUUGUUGAGUUGCAAUUUAUUCUACUUAGGAACAAUUGUUAGCAUUCUUAAUUUACUGAAAGAAUUUAUUUUUUUAAGAUCAA